rnacentral:sRNA from 1 species
CGGGGACGGGGGAGUGGUAGUGGGGGCUGCAGCUGCCGGACCCAGGCACCGACCCUUGACCUCCGGUGGCUCCCCCAUCUCUCAGGCGCGAUGGCUACGGGCGCGGAUGUACGGGACAUUCUAGAACUCGGGGGUCCAGAAGGGGAUGCAGCCUCUGGGACCAUCAGCAAGAAGGACAUUAUCAACCCGGACAAGAAAAAGUCCAAGAAGUCCUCUGAGACACUGACUUUCAAGAGGCCCGAGGGCAUGCACCGGGAAGUCUAUGCCUUGCUCUACUCUGACAAGAAGGAUGCACCCCCACUGCUACCCAGUGACACUGGCCAGGGGUACCGUACAGUGAAGGCCAAGUUGGGCUCCAAGAAGGUGCGGCCUUGGAAGUGGAUGCCAUUCACCAACCCGGCCCGCAAGGACGGAGCAAUGUUCUUCCACUGGCGACGUGCAGCGGAGGAGGGCAAGGACUACCCCUUUGCCAGGUUCAAUAAGAGUUGACCUUUGGACUCCACAGAAGCACUUACAUGUGGGCCCCUCACCUUAACUAUGGGGGCAGGAGUGUGUGUCCCAUGACUGAGGCUCUGGAGCUGGAGACAGUGAAGUUGAUCCUGGAAUAAAUCAGAGGCAGGCUACAGUCCCAAACCCUGCUAGGACCUCUAGUCAAGCAGACAAGUUCUUUCCUCAUUCCAUGCUGCAGGGGCACAGCCCCAGGGUCUGGCAACAAACAGGAGCAGCUGUGGUCACUGGGGCCUGGAGCCUGCUGGACAUGACAUGAUGUGGGCAUGCCCCUACUGUGUUCCUCUGUGCUAGUAGACUGUGCAGGUGCCUGUGUACUCGGAGCAGGAGUACCAGCUUUAUCUCCACGAUGAUGCUUGGACUAAGG